UACGUAGGGGGCAAGCGUUGUCCGGAAUCACUGGGCGUAAAGCGCGCGCAGGCGGCGAUCUGCGUCUGGGGUGAAAGCCCGGAGCUCAACUCCGGGAUUGCCUUGGAUACGGGGUCGCUUGAGGAUCGGAGAGGCAAGGGGAAUUCCACGUGUAGCGGUGAAAUGCGUAGAGAUGUGGAGGAACACCUGUGGCGAAGGCGCCUUGCUGGCCGGAUUUCUGACGCUGAGGCGCGAAAGCGUGGGGAGCAAACAGG
rnacentral:rRNA from 1 species